rnacentral:tRNA from 1 species
GCCCGGAUUGAGCAAUGGUAGCUCGCGUGGCUCGAACCCACGUUUCCUCUGGAUAUCCAGGUUCGAUUCCUGGUCCGGGCG